AAGUAGCUGCUGAAUAGAUUUAUGACUUAAAUUAAAAUGUGAACACAAUUUCUCUCUCCUUAGCUACUCGGAUCUCAUAGAUUGCUUAAUUGAAUGUAGUGGAGCCGGAUUUGUUCAUAUUCACUGAGACAAAGAUGAACCAGGGAAACUAAUAAAGAAAUUAAUCUUUGCAGACUGCAGUCCACUAAAAGCAGUCUAGACAUCCAAAAUCACCCACUUCUCUCUUAAAAUGGGAGAUUAGGGUGCACAGUUGAGCUAUUUAAUUAGUUGUAUCCAGUGCAAGUCAAUGAGGGGAGAAAGGGUGGGAUCUAUAAUGGCCAUCUCCUUUGAUGUGGACUCACCUUCUGGGAGGAUCCGUAUCUAUCACUGACUGUAGGAGAAACUCAGCAAUUAAUCUGUGUUGAACACCAAAUACUACGCACUGAGAUGACUCACAGCUUGUGAUCAUGAUUGGUGCUUUUGUGCCUUAAUCUCAAAAUGUCCUUCUUCUGUCUUCCCUAGAAAACUGCCCUUUAAGGAAUGAAUCUAAUAAACAGUGCUGGUAAUAUUGCAAGUACUUUCGACUGGAAAAGGGAAAAUAAAUAUAUGUCAAGCUCUGGUUUGAACUGCUAACAGUGGCAGGAAACUUACUGUCUUCAAAACUGUGGGCUUGAUUCCUUAAAAAUCAAAGCAAGUACCAGGCUAAAAUGUGAAAACAAAGUGAUAAACCGCCAAAUAUUAGAAAGAGAGGAAUUAUCAGAAAAUACUUGAAGAGGAUCUGGUAUUGUAUGUUACCUGUAGCAAUGGAAUGACACACAAGGAGAUGGUAAGAAAUAAAUCAGUACUUUCUUAUUAUUAACGUGUUCUGACUCUGCACUUCUACGGGGAGAAAUAAAGACAGACAGCUUUAUAGUCCUCCUCUGACCUCCCUUUGAUCACAGGUACUACUCCCUCAGUGUUUCUCUAAUAAGAAAUGUAAGUAAAGGAUGAACUUCUCUUUAUGUGUGGUGUCCUCCGGUGUCAGAACAGGACAAGGCUGUCAUCUCUUGGUAUGGGAAUAGGUUUACUGAUGAAUCUGCAAACCCCAGAUGUCCAUGUCCACCCUGCCCUUCUUCUAGAGCCUCCAUGGAGACACGGUAGAAUGGAAGGUAACUGUGUUCCCAUAGCCACUACAUUUCAUAGUCCAGCAUAUAAACAGAAACCCAGAUUGAUUCUAGAGAAGUAAACCAUCAUGCUACCUCCAUGUUAGGACAAAGCCAUCUACUACAGUUGUGGAGCAGACCUCUGGGACCUGCAUAACCUCAAGUCACAUUAGGAUGAGCCUCACUAUUUUGUAAGAAAUGUUUAUUGUCAGAAAGACAGGCGAGCACAGGGCAGACUGCUUGCAGGAGUGGAGGAAAUGACAGCCUCAUCCCUGAUGAGACAUUUUUCCUCUCAACCCACAGAUCAUGAAACGGUCAAUUAAGAAAAGGACUGCAAGCAUGCAUGCUUCAUCAGUGGGUGCAAUUAGAAAUGUUGCAAGCAUUCUCUGCACAAACAGCUCUAUCCAUUGCCUCCUGCCCCUUUAGCCUAGCAGAAAUGUGAUCUACUUCAUCUUUUAUGCUCAGAAUAAAAGUGCAUUAAAACUUUCA